GUACAAACACCAAUACAUGAUCCACAAGAUAAAGCCAGAGUUUUCAGAUAGGAGUCCAUAGUCUCGAAAACAUUCUGACCUGUUACGAUUUUUCUGAGUUCUUUGCAAGAGAAGCAUUGCAAUAUUAAAA